rnacentral:lncRNA from 1 species
CAGCAAGUCGAUCUCCUCCUUUUCUAUUGACGGAACAUUGACAUUGGAACCAGUGAGGCUCGCCAAACAUUGGCCCACAUGUACAAAAAAUCUUAAAGCAUCGACAGAUUGCUUCUUCCCUUUUUGUUCAUUAAGGAACAACCUCUCGACUGGCGGUAGGAGAUUCCUCAGGUACUCUACCAUGGAUUGGAGGUUCUCUCCUGCGAAUGGAGCACGAAGCAUUGGAUUUGAGGGUCCUACAGGAGAAGUGGAUGCAAGAAAGCACCAAG